GCGGACGGGUGAGUAAUGCCUAGGAAAUUGCCCUGAUGUGGGGGAUAACCAUUGGAAACGAUGGCUAAUACCGCAUGAUGCCUACGGGCCAAAGAGGGGGACCUUCGGGCCUCUCGCGUCAGGAUAUGCCUAGGUGGGAUUAGCUAGUUGGUGAGGUAAGGGCUCACCAAGGCGACGAUCCCUAGCUGGUCUGAGAGGAUGAUCAGCCACACUGGAACUGAGACACGGUCCAGACUCCUACGGGAGGCAGCAGUGGGGAAUAUUGCACAAUGGGCGCAAGCCUGAUGCAGCCAUGCCGCGUGUAUGAAGAAGGCCUUCGGGUUGUAAAGUACUUUCAGUCGUGAGGAAGGUGGUGUAGUUAAUAGCUGCAUUAUUUGACGUUAGCGACAGAAGAAGCACCGGCUAACUCCGUGCCAGCAGCCGCGGUAAUACGGAGGGUGCGAGC
rnacentral:rRNA from 1 species